rnacentral:rRNA from 1 species
GACGAACGCUGGCGGCGUGCUUAACACAUGCAAGUCGAACGGACAGGCCCUGCUUUUGUGGGGUGCUCGAGUGGCGAACGGGUGAGUAACACGUGUGUAACCUGUACCUGACUUAGGGAUAACUUCAGGAAAAUGGGGCUCAUACCGGAUAGGAGCUCUUGCUGCAUGGUGGGGGUUGGAAAGAUUCGGCGGUUGGGGAUGGACUCGCGGCUUAUCAGCUUGAUGGUGGGGUAGUGGCUUACCAAGGGUUUGACGGGUAGCCGGCCUGGGAGGGGAACCGGGCACAUUAGGACUGAGAUACGGCCCAGACUCCUACCGGACGCAAUGGUGGAGAAUAUGACAGAGUGAGCGGAAGCCAGAGGCAACAAUGCCGCGAGCGGGAUAACGGGCUUCUAGUUGUAAACCACUUUCUCCUGAAACGAGGCGGGAUUGACGGUAAUGGGUAAAGAAGCACCGGCUAACUACGUG